rnacentral:rRNA from 1 species
GCCCCUACUCUCGGCGAUGGAUAUCUCGGCUCUCACAUCACUCAAGACCCCAACGAAAAGCUGUACUUGGUGCAAAGUGCUCAAUCCCACGAACCAUCCAGUCUUUGAACGGUUCUUGCGACCGAGGCCAAUCCACCAAGGGCACGUCUGCCUGGGCGUCAAGC